CCUACGGGAGGCAGCAGUGGGGAAUAUUGCACAAUGGGGGAAAGCCUGAUGCAGCCAUGCCGCGUGUGUGAAGAAGGCCUUCGGGUUGUAAAGCACUUUCAGUAGGGAGGGAAGGUAGUGUAGUUAACACCUGCAUUAUUUGACGUUACCUACAGAAGAAGCACCGGCUAACUCCGUGCCAGCAGCCGCGAUAAU
rnacentral:rRNA from 1 species